rnacentral:lncRNA from 1 species
UUAUCGAUUUGUGACAUAUUUUGAACCGGCCUAAUUCGGGACCGAAGAAAUUUAUUAUUUUAUAGAGAUUUUAUAUUUAUCUAGUAUUAAUUUAUAGAGUAAUUAUUGUACUAGUUUGAUUAGUAGUACCCAUAAACUUUUAUUUUUGCGAAAUAAUCUACUUUUUAUGAAGAUAUUGUUCGGAUAAUACCACUACAAUCAUAUUUACGACCAUUUCAAAUUCCUACUAUACUACAGAUCCAUAAACAUAGCUUAAACCUAAAUACAGUUUUCAAAAAAAAAAUCAGCCUCUCUCUAAAUUACUAUCUACUCUUACAUUAUUUACAUUACCCAUGAUAUAUAUUU